GCAAGAGUUGAUACAGUCCACACAGGUCGGCCUCCUGGGCAGAGAUCAGAGUAGGACAGGAUGAAGAACACAUCUGGAGGGUCAAAGAGAAGCUAUGACACAGGAUCCUUAUUAAUCAAAGUGUGAUCCAUUGACCACCAUCAUCAGCAUCUGCUGGAGCCUAUUAGGAAUGCAGAAUACCAGGCCCCAUCACAGACCAGUUACUGAAUUGGAAUCUGCAUUGUAACAAACUUCUCAGAGCUCUCUCUCAGGACUAUUCUGGCUUCUCAGGAUCCAUUGCCCUUGCCCAGGAGAGAGAGCCUCGCUGGGACCCAGAAACCGCGAAAGAAGAUUCGACCUACCUGUGGAACCAGACACAACUUGGUCCCCAAAGGUCGCUUAGGCGACCCCACUGCAAACGGCAAGUCAACUUGUGCACUUAAAACGUAUCAGUUUAUGGAAUGCUUGUUUAAAGUCCUCAUUGGACAUGGUAUAGAUUAUGGGGUUGAUGAGGGAGUUGAGAUAGCCCAGCCAUGUGAAGAAGUCAAAGAUGGCUAGGUGGAACCAGCAGGCAUCUUUGCAGAUAGGCAUCACUAGGGAGAUGAUGAAGAAGGGUAGCCAACACACAAU
rnacentral:lncRNA from 10 species